AAUUAUAAGGUUGAUUAAAAAGUAUAAAGUGGAUACUUAAGUAUAAGUUAUGAAUCCAGAUAGCUUAAUUAUCAAAAGAAAAAAUACAUGAAUAAAAUGAGAUGUUUGGUACAUGUCAAUGAAACAGACGUAGAGACAUAGGUAUGCUGUUUGGUACAUGUCAAUGAAACAGACGUAGAGACAUAGGUAUGCUGUUUGGUACAUGUCAAUGAGACAGACGUAGAGACAUAGGUAUGCUGUUUGGUACAUGUCAAUGAGACAGACGUAGAGACAUAGUUAUGCUGUUUCAGGCAUCAACUAUGUAUUAGUUUGUGAUUAGGUCAAUUUAUGGGGAUUCAAUAGUGAUAGGUCAGUGAUACUUGGUAUGCAGUCAUAUUUGCAAUGGCACAUCUCAUUUCCAUGUAGAUUGUUUGGCCCUGUACCAUAAGUCAUGGUUCAUUGACUUUGCAUAACUAACAAGUUUUUAUUAUUGCGGUUGUAUAUUGGUAUGACGUUUGCGUCAUCGUCGUCAGAAGACACAUUGAUUUUCGCACAAUAACUUAAUUUUACCAUAAGGUUCAAUACAACAAAAGGAAGGAGAUUAUGACCAUAUCCUGAGGGAAAGAAUUUUUAUUUUUGGAAA